rnacentral:rRNA from 1 species
GACGAACGCUGGCGGCGUGCUUAACACAUGCAAGUCGAACGGAAAGGCCUCUUUCGGGGGGUACUCGAGUGGCGAACGGGUGAGUAACACGUGAGUAACCUGCCCUUGACUCUGGGAUAACUUCAGGAAACUGGGGCUAAUACCGGAUAGGAGCUCCUGCUGCAUGGUGGGGGUUGGAAAGUUUCGGCGGUUGGGGAUGGACUCGCGGCUUAUCAGCUUGUUGGUGGGGUAGUGGCUUACCAAGGCUUUGACGGGUAGCCGGGCUGGGAGGGUGACCGGCCACAUUGGGACUGGGAUACGGCCCAGACUCCUACGGGAGGCAGGAGUGGGGAAUAUUGCACAAUGGGUGGGAGCCUGAUGCAGCAACGCCGUGUGCGGGAUGACGGCCUUCGGGUUGUAAACCGCUUUCGCUCAUGACGAAGCUUUGUGUGACGGUAGUGGGUAAAGAAGCACCGGCUAACUACGUG